AAUAGAUAGGGAGGCAAGAGACAACCUGGCGAACUGAAACAUCUUAGUAGCCAGAGGAAAAGAAAGCAAAAGCGAUUCCCUGAGUAGUGGCGAGCGAAAUGGGAACAGCCUAAACCGUCCCUAUGGACGGGGUUGUGGGAGAGCGACAUAAGCUACGAGUUACUAGACGAAGCAGCUGAUUCCUGCACCUUAGAUGGUGAUAGUCCAGUAGUUGAAAGUAUCUCUAGCAAACGCUAAUACCCGAGUAGCAUGGGGCACGUGGAAUCCCGUGUGAAUCAGCGAGGACCACCUCGUAAGGCUAAAUACUCCUGGGUGACCGAUAGUGAAGUAGUACCGUGAGGGAAAGGUGAAAAGAACCCCCAUCGGGGAGUGAAAUAGAACAUGAAACCGUAAGCCUCCAAGCAGUGGGAGGAGAAUGGAAUCUCUGACCGCGUGCCUGUUGAAGAAUGAGCCGGCGACUUAUAGGUAGUGGCCUGGUUAAGGUUUUCCGGAGCCAUAGCGAAAGCGAGUCUUUCUAGGGCGAAUGUCACUACUUAUGGACCCGAACCCGGGUGAUCUAACCAUGGCCAGGGUGAAGCUUGGGUGAAGCCAAGUGGAGGUCCGAACCGACUGAUGUUGAAAAAUCAGCGGAUGAGCUGUGGUUAGGGGUGAAAUGCCACUCGAACUCGGAGCUAGCUGGUUCUCCCCGAAAUGCGUUGAGGCGCAGCGGUUGACUGGACUGCCUAGGGGUAAAGCACUGUUUCGGUGCGGGCUGCGAAAGCGGUACCAAAUCGAGGCAAACUCUGAAUACUAGGCAUGAAAGAGGUCAGCCAGUAAGACGGUGGGGGAUAAGCUUCAUCGUCGAGAGGGAAACAGCCCAGACCACCAGCUAAGGCCCCUAAAUGACCGCUCAGUGGCAAAGGAGGUGAGAGUGCAAAGACAGCCAGGAGGUUUGCCUAGAAGCAGCCACCCUUGAAAGAGUGCGUAAUAGCUCACUGAUCGAGCGCUCUUGCGCCGAAGAUGAACGGGACUAAGCGGUCUGCCGAAGCUGUGGGAUGCCCGUCAGGGCAUCGGUAGGGGAGCGUUCCGCAAACGGGAGAAGCAUCAGUGCAAACAGGUGUGGACGAAGCGGAAGUGAGAAUGUCGGCUUGAGUAACGCAAACAUUGGUGAGAAUCCAAUGCCCCGAAAACCCAAGGGUUCCUCCGCAAGGCUCGUCCACGGAGGGUGAGUCAGGGCCUAAGAUCAUGCCGAACGGCGCAGUCGAUGGACAACAGGUCAAGAUUCCUGUACUGCCCCUUGUCGGCAAUAAGAGGGACGGAGGAGGCUAAGCUAGCCGAACAAUGGUCAUCGGUUCAAGGGUCAAAAGCCUGAGUACUAGGCACCUACGGGGCCGAAGUAGCUGAUGCCACGCUCCCAAGAAAAGCUCUUACGCCAAUACUCCCUAAGGACCAGAUCCUUCUCUGCCUCCCCAAAGAAAAAGAAUUUUAGGGGACCUACGGCACAGGGUCCCGUACGGAAACCCCGUAUAGGGCGUGAGGUUCAAAGAAACGCCACAAAGCGACUCGGUCCUACGGAGGUGCGUUASAAAAAAUAAGACAAGUGGGCACCUGUACCCGAAACCGACACAGGUGGGUAGGUAGAGAAUACCUAGGGGCGCGAGACAACUCUCUCUAAGGAACUCGGCAAGAUGGCCCCGUAACUUCGGGAGAAGGGGUGCCCCUCUGGGCCGCAGUGACCAGGCCCAGGCGACUGUUUACCAAAAACACAGGUCUCCGCAAAGUCGAAAGACGACGUAUGGGGGCUGACGCCUGCCCAGUGCCGGAAGGUUAAGGAAGUCGGUGACUCGAGUACGAGGAAGCUGGCGACCGAAGCCCCGGUGAACGGCGGCCGUAACUAUAACGGUCCUAAGGUUGGAAAAAGCUAGCCUUAGUAAAACCAAACUAUAUGCUGGAAACUCCUCAAAAACUUGGUCACUACUCGUUAUAAUGCUUCGCCAAUGGUCCCGUUAGAGGUUCCAAAGGUUGAAGGUUCAAAUUGUUGGACGUUGCUUCGCAAUCUUUCUUGCUCUGCAACCAAACACAGACAUUAGACUUCCAAUCAAAAAUGUUUGUUAGUUAGGUUAGAGUUUGAUUGAUGGGAGAGCUUCAGCAAUACACGCUAUGGCAGUCAAAAUGUGAAAGUCAUGUGGACAAUCAGCAGGAAAGACUCUUUAUUGUCCGGGCCACCGCCGGAGGUCCUCCGAAGGAAGAGAUAUAGAGAGAAUCCUMAGAGACUAUAMGKUUGGAGGUUUUMAAUGAAUUUAGAACCACAAUGGAUUGUUGGUUUCGUAGAUGGAGAAGGGUGUUUCCAUGUUGMUAUCAAUCGGUAMAAAGAUACGGUUCUUGGUGUCCAAAUACAGCCAGUAUUUAUUGUCGUUCAACACGUACAAGAUAUUCAGGUUCUUUACGCACUCAAAGAAUAUUUCGGGUGUGGGGUUGUACGCCAAAAUCAUGGAGAUAGAUUUGCUUAUCGAGUUCGUGGUCAAAAGAACCUUUGCGAAAGGAUUGUUCCGUUCUUUGAGAAACAUAAAUUGAAAACAAAGAAACGGAUUGAUUUUGAAAAAUUCCGAGAUGUCGUUCUUAUGAUGGAACGAGGUGAUCAUCUCACAGAGGAAGGGGUCAAGACAAUUCGAAAGAUUCAAGAAACUAUGAAUCGAAAAUCCAAAAAUAAUUCUUCGCCCACGUCGCCCCAAGAGGUGCAACGUGAAAGGCAAGCCAAACAUGAUGCAUGUUCUAAAGACGAAAAUCUAAGAUAGAGUCCAGCUUUUUGUGAAAGCAGAGAGAUUAUCUGAGCGAAAUUCCUUGUCGGGUAAGUUCCGACCCGCACGAAAGGCGUAACGAUCUGGGCACUGUCUCGGAGAGAGGCUCGGUGAAAUAGACUUGUCUGUGAAGAUGCGGACUACCUGCACCUGGACAGAAAGACCCUAUGAAGCUUUACUGUUCCCUGGGAUGGGGUUUGGGCCCUUCUUGCGCAGUCUAGGUGGGAGGCGAAGACGGCGUCCUUCCGGGGACGCUCGAGCCGAAGAUGAGAGACCACCCUAGAAAGGCUAGGAUUCUAACCUUAUGCCUAGAAGAAGGCUAGGGGACAGUCCCAGGUAGACAGUUUCUAUGGGGCGUAGGCCUCCCAAAGGGUAACGGAGGCGUGCAAAGGUUUCCUCAGGCUGGACGGAAAUCAGCCUUCGAGUGCAAAGGCAGAAGGGAGCUUGACUGCAAGACUCACCCGUCGAGCAGGGACGAAAGUCGGCCUUAGUGAUCCGACGGUUCCGAGUGGAAGGGCCGUCGCUCAACGGAUAAAAGUUACUCUAGGGAUAACAGGCUGAUCUUCCCCAAGAGUUCACA
rnacentral:rRNA from 1 species